rnacentral:lncRNA from 1 species
UUUUUUCUUGAUUUUCCAUAAACCAACCUAGGCAUCUUUUACAAUUGAUAACAUGUUUUCUGUGUUUCCCAUUCACUUCCAUAUUCACAAGAGUGUAACCAUACCUAUCUCUAGGGAAAAGGUACAACAGAUUUUCAAAAAGCAUGAUGCUAAUGGUGAUGGUAGUCUAAGCUUGGAGGAGCUUGCAACAGCCUAUGGAGAACUAGGUUCAAUUAUCCCCAAUCUGAGAGCUCAUCUUUCACUCUUCCAUGCAGAUACUAAUGGGGACGGAAAAAUCAACUCCGAGGAGAUGGAAUCUCUCAUCAAUUAUGCUAUGUCUCUAGGAUAUCGCAUUAAGUAAAAUAGAAUCUACUUAUGUGCUUAUAAUAAAGGGCAUGUCAUUAUGUCAUGUCCCUAUUUUAUAUAUAAAUAAUGCAUGUAGUUUUCUUAUUUGGUGACCAAGGAAACAAAAAGGACAAGUUCUUUUGUUGUGUUUCCUUUUUAUAUGUGUAACUUAAAACUUUAUAAUUAUCUAUCUUUUAUGUAACUUAGUUUUUUUUUUCUUUCUUUUUUUUUACUCUUUUCCACCAAUUAUAAGGUAGUAUGAAUUUCAAAAUGACCAUAAAUGUGAGACUUGUAUGCAAGUGUAGUGUCACCUAUACACGAGAUAGUGCUUCUCCUAGUGAUAGGUUAGGAGAGAAAUGAAAUGCUUAGUGCUACUUAGUAAAUUAUGUAGAUUAAUUUGCAAAGACAAGAGUCAUGUCUAAAUUAAAGUAGAUUGAAAGUCUUCAAAGUAAGAGAAUGUUUUAGAAAGAAAUUAAAUAGAAAGUAUAAAUUGAUAAAAAAAAAAUUCAACAAUUAUUUCUAAAAUCCUCAUGGAGUUUGAUGUAUAGAACAAAACAAAAAAAAAAAUUAUAUACCACAUGCAGCUCAAUGAUUUUCAACAUUUACAAAUAUCUCAAAAACUUAAAAAAAAAAAAAAUAGUUGUUUGGAUUAUUAUGGAAAAUAUAUGUUUAAUUCUCAAAAAAUUGUUUUAUUAAUAUAUUUUUUUACUAAAUAAUGAUUAGAAAUCAUUAAACGUGGUCAUAUUUAUUAAAUAUAAAAAAUUAUUGGCACCAUAUGUUGGCGACCCAUCUAAUAUGAAUUUUAAUAAUAAUAAUACACUAUCUUCUUCUUUUACAUUUAGGAAAAAUUUAAGAAGCCUCUCAUAAUUAAUCAUUGAUGACAUCUCCAAAAGUGGGGGACUUGUCUUACAUCAUGCAUGUGGAAAAAUAAUGCUCUUAGCCAUGUUAAAUGAAAAAAGAUGAGGCAAAUGCUUCCACUUCCAUCGUCCUACUUUGGGCUUUAAUUCGAGUUCAAUUCAAUUCUUUUCUGGAUUGAUUGAUUUUUUUGUGAAAAAUAUUAAUAAUUGCAAGGAUGUUUUAAUUGUUGAGAUUUUUAUUAAGUUUUGUUGAGUAAAAAUAUUCAGCAUAAAAUUAAAAUUUAUAGAUAUUUCUUUUAUACUUUAGUUUUUAUGGUGUUAGGUAUAACUUUUAAUAAUGGACCAUAUCCUAUUUCUAAACCAACUUGUAGUGUCAUGGUCAGUUCUAAUUCGUACCAAGCUUUUUGGCAUAUUCAUUGGAUAUCUUUUGUUCACAACAUAAACAAAUUCAGAAACACGUUUGUCUACUAUGAUAAGAAAACUAGUGGUUGAUUUGAUCAAUUGGCUAAAAAGGAGCCCCAGUAAGAUCUACAAGUGAUAUGCGGCUUGGAAUUAUGGAAUUCUCUUUUUUAAAAAGUGAUGGAGCAUAUUAAAUGCUAUUAUAAAUGACCUACUAAACAGUUAAAUAUAAAAUAUUAUUUGGCAUCAUAUGUUGGUGACCCAUGUAAUAUGAAUUUUAAUGAAUUCAUCCAAGGAAAUAAUACUAUUAUAUCUUUAUCUUGCUAGAAAUUUUCAACAAUUAUUUGUGAAAUCCUUAUAGUGUUUGAUGUGUAGAACACAAAAUUCAUACUCCACAUACAACUCAAUAUUAGUAAAAAUAUAUAUAUUUUUUUAAUUAUUAUGGGAAAUAUAUGUUUAAUUUUCAAAAUAUAAUUUUUUUUUUAGAUUUUUUUUUUAAUAAUCUUUUAACUAACUUGUAGAUUUGAAAUUAUCCCAUUCUACUAAAUAUUCCUAUAUUUUAGAAUAAGAAAAUAUAGAGAAGUUUAUUUCCGUAUGAAAAUAACUCUUUAAUGCUUUUAAAUAUGUUUUAAAAAUAACUUCUAUAUUUAAUAGUUUAUUUUUAAUCAUUCUCUAUAUUUGUAUAAUUAUUUUUUUAAAAUAGCUUUUAUAAAACAAGUGAAAAUAAUUAAAAAUAAAAAAAUGUUGUUUGAAAAGAUGAUGUUUUUUGUUUUUAAAAAUAGAAAACAAAAAACAGUUUUUUGGUUAUCAAAUAUAUUUUCUUAUUUCUUUUUGUUAUGAAGAGCAUAAAAUUGUUUUUAACAAUAAUUAGCAAACAUUGUUAGUUUACUCAUCAUGAAAAGCUAAUACUAUAUGCUUGAUUUGACCAAUCACCUAAUAAUGUGUUUGAUAGUGUUUAUAUUCAAAGUAUUUUUAGUGAUUUUUUUUUUUUCUAAAUGCAUGUUUUUUAGAAUAAUUACUUGUCAAGUGUUAUGAAAUACUAGAAGUAAUUUUUGAAAAUUUUAAAAUCUUGCAUGUCUUAAUUUUUCUUAAAAAUAUUUUUUAUGCUAUAAAUAUUUUCUAAAAAUACUAUCAAACAGUAUUUCAAUUCGAAGUGCUUUUGAGAAAAGUGAUUUCCCUAAAAGUAUUAUUGAGUGAAUCACUUCUCUCCAAAAUUCACCAUAAAUAUUUUUUAAUAUUUUAAAAAUAUUUUUUAAAAUUUACGAAAUAUUCAAAAAAAAAUUUCAAGAACAUUUUUUAUACCAUAAAUAAUUUCUAAAAACACCAUCAAAGAUAAUUUUAAAGGCUAAAAAGCAGGUCUUUACUCUCAUGGAUGACCUUCGCAUCAUCAAAUUUGAAAUUUAUAAAGGCGAUGGUGUACACCAUGAAAGAGUGAAUUAAACGUGGCUUGGCAACCUUCUACUUGAGUAAACUCGUACUGGCAUGGCAAUGAUUUUACCAUUUUUAGUGUCAUUUUGAAAUUGAAAUGAUGCGUCUUACUAGGAAUGCUUGGUCAUGUAGAUUAGUUUACAAAGAAAAAAGUCAAUUCUAAAAAAAGAUUGAGACUUGUAGGCAAAGGGAAGUUUUCAGAGGAUUUAAAGGAAAUAAAAAAUAUAUUUCUGAAAUUUAAAACUCCAGUUUUUGGAAUUUUGUGUAAAACAAACCAAAAUUUAACCAACAUUUAGCAAGCUUUAUUGCAUUUUAUUUUUUCUUUUACCUUCCUUUGCUAUGUCAUUUUACCUCUACAAUUUGUUAGGAUUUGAGUCAAAUGAUUUAUUUAUUUAUUUUUAAAAAGUCAAUAUUGAUAAAUUUGCGUUUUGGUAAAUUAUCUUUUUAAGUUUUAUUAGAAAAAUAUUGAUUUAAGGUUAAUCAGUAAGAUUCUAUAAACAUGGUUUUAUUUAAAAGAAAAUAUAUGAUUUUAUAUAAAAUAAAACAUCUGACAAAAAAAGUUAAUAAAUUAUAAAUUCUCAAAGCUUAUUAAUAAAUUUGAUCAAUAUUUUUUUUUUUGUUAAUUAGUUUUAGUCAUCCUUUCCUACAAUGUGGGCAAUUAUAUCGAAUCAUACAAAUAAUAUUUUGUCUUCCCUAUUUUCUUAUAUUUUGUUUUUUUAUGUUUGGAUCAAGUGUUGUUGUGAUUUAUUUUUCUUAUAUUUGGGUGUAGUGAUUUUUCCAACACGAAUCAAAGACAACUCCCCCAUUUCCCACGUUCUAUAUAUUCUGUGGCAUCUUUAAAAGUAAAGGACUUAUCCGCUCCACCAUGAAAGUGGAAAAUAUGCUCUUAGCCAUGUUAGAAGAAAAAAGAAAAAGGGUAAAUGGGUUCCACCCACCUUUUCUUCCGAUUCUUAUGACUCUUAUCCAAAUGCAUAAGAAUCAAUGACUCUUAUCCAAUCCAUCCAUGGAUGGAGGCCCUGGAAGUUCUAAUUGUUAUGAUGGAUGAAUGUAUUGUUUUUUUUUAAAAAAACUAAUUUUUAGGUUAGAAGAGGCAACAUAUCAUUUACAAAAAUUUCUUUUAUGCUUUAGUCGUUGGGUUUAUAAAGGCUGCCUUCUAAUGAGUGAUUGACCUCAGCUUGUACCAAUCCUCUUGUCACCUUGACUCACUACGACGAGAAAAUCAGAGGUCCAUGCAUAUUUGAUUUAAAAAAUAUUCUUAUUUUUAUUCACUUGCACUUCCUUAAUGGAUUGACCCACCUUUAGACAAAGCAUCUAUUUUCCAAUUUGAACGGAGCUUUUGACUGAGAAAAGAAGUUGAGUGGCCACACCGUCGAGUAUGACUUUAUGCAUUGUGUUGGAAUCAAAUUUGUGGCUUGAGAUAAUUGAUCCAGUCCUCACCUUUACUUAUACUUUGUGUCCACAUUUUCUAGCUUGGUCUAAAUUUAUUUCCUUCCAUGCAUUUUAGUCUCAAUCUAAUGAGGUUUUUCAAAAAUGACUAAUCAAGGUUAUCAUAAAUAGUAUUUGGAAAGAUUGUUAACAUAUUUGAAUGGAGCCAUUAGCCUAGGGGCAAGAUUCCAAAUAAGUUGUGUUGCCCUCAUUUAAAGACACGUUAAAUCUGACAAUUGUUCUUUUUCCUUUUGUUUUACCUUUUCAUUUACAUAUGUGCCUGUUAGGCUUUGUAGAGUCUAGGUUUGUUUGAUUCGGUUUGGCGACCCGAUCCGAAUAAUAUUGCAUGACUUUUUAAUGGGAGAUUUACUAAGGCUUGUUGGACCCGUUUAACCCAUUGUGGAAUCACCUUUUUUAAUUAGGGUUUUUUAAUGUGGUGUGGUUGUCGUGUUAUAUAUAAAGAGAAAAUAUUGUAGCUGAUGUAGUUGUAUUCUGUAUUCUUCCUUGAUAAUAGUGAUAUCCCUGCAACUCCAUGAAUGUAGGCAAAUUGCCGAACCACGUAAAUACUGUCUUGUGCGUGUAAUUAUUUUUCUUUGACUUGUGUUUUCUCUAUUUUUUGUUUUUCACAGGUUGGGAAUUCGGUUUAAUUCCCUACCGUACUUAUUAAUCCUCAUGCAAUCUCAACUCAUACAUCAAUGGCUAAGUGUUUGAAUUUAACCUAAACAACCUCAAUAGGAAUGAGUAAACAUGCUAACAUCCAAAUAUUUUGUUUCAUUUUUCCCUAAAACUUCCUCUUUUACUUUAGCUAUUGAAAUUUACAAAUCAAAGCCAUAUUGUGAUUCUAGGUAAAAGUUUAAGACCAUGUUUGGUAACUGUUUUUUAAAAUAAUAUUUUGUUUUGCAAAACACAAAAACAAGAAAAUACAUUUGACUAUUAGAAAAGAGCACACUUUUUUGCUCUUCAAAAUAAAAAACAAAAAUGCUUUUUAGAUAAUAUUUUUUUAAUUAUUUUUACUUAUUUUUUAGGAGUUAUUUUAAAAAAUAAUUAUGCAAAUACGAAGAAUGAUUAAAAAUAAGGCACUACUAAAAAAAAUUAUUUUUAAAAUAUAUUAAAAAAACAUAAAAUAAAAAAGUAUGUUAAAAAUAUUUCAAAUUCUAAAAUAAUGUUUUGUUCAACAAAACAUUAACUAACAAUUUUAGUUUUUUUUUUUUGAAUACACUUCUCAAGUAGAGUUUAAGAUUCUAAUAGCCUACAUCAAGGCUAUAAUCGCCUAUACACUUGUUGUGGUUUUUUUUUUGAAAAAAAGGAUUUUAUUUUUUACUGUUCUAAAUUUAAUUUAAAAUAAGAAAUUAAAUUUUGAAUAAUAAUAAACAAAUCAUUAAAAUGUUAUAUUUAUUACCCUUUUGAAAUUUGUUUUUAGAAAAUCAGAUUCAAGAGAUUCAAUUUUUGUGUUGAUUAAUUUUUCUUUUUAAAAAAAGUAAUGUAUUUGGCGUUAUUUUGCUAUUAAGAAAAGUUUCACAAGUCAAAUAUAGAAUCCAUAUUUGUUAAAAAAAUAAUUUAAAAUAUUCAACCUUACUGCAUGAUUGAAUAUCUGGUCAACAAUAUUUAAGAUGUAUUAUAUACAUGACUUUCAUUUGUAUUUUUACUAUUAGAUUAUGAUCAUUAGAUAUCAGGAAAAAAUGAUGGAGAAAAAAAAAACACCUUGACCUACGAAUAAAGAGGAAGACCAUCUUCUAACUUCAAGGAAUUAAUCUUAGAUGGCAUCUUCAAAAGUGGGGGCCGGGCUUGUCUUCCGCCAUGCAAGUCGUAAAAUAAUAUUCUUAGCCAUGUUAAAUGAAAAAGAUGAGGUAAAUGGGUUCCACUUCCUACUUUUGUGCUGAUUCUUAUACACCAUGACAAGGAAACUAGAGGUUGGUUAGAACCAUUGGCUGAAACGGAACCUUAAUUAAGAUGUUGUACUUCUCAUAUUUCGGCUUGGAAUUCUAGAAUUUUCUUCUUUUUCUUUUUCUUCUUCUUCUUCUUCUUAUUAUUAUUAUUAUCAUUUUAUAAAAGUGAUGGAGUAUAUUAAAUGCUAUCAUAAAUUGUAUUAACCAUGUUGACACUAAUUAUUGAAUAAAAGACCUACUAAACAAUUUUAUGUUACUUACAACAUCUUCUUUUACCAUUUGUGAACCAUUGGCUGAAACGGAACCUUAAUUAAGAUGUUGUACUUCUCAUAUUUCGGCUUGGAAUUCUAGAAUUUUCUUCUUUUUCUUCUUCUUCUUCUUCUUCUUCUUAUUAUUAUUAUUAUUAUCAUUUUAUAAAAGUGAUGGAGUAUAUUAAAUGCUAUCAUAAAUUGUAUUAACCAUGUUGACACUAAUUAUUGAAUAAAAGACCUACUAAACAAUUUUAUGUUACUUACAACAUCUUCUUUUACCAUUUGUGAAGAUGAAGGUGCAAAUAGAAAAAAAGAAUAAAAAAAAAAAAGUAAUUUUUUUUCCUCUUUCAAUGGUCUCUUGGACCCUAAUAAAAUGGUUAUAAAGGUGGAAUAAAAGACAUUUUUCAUUCAAGAAUUAGAAAUGCAUCACAGAAUGAUUAGAAGAAGAUUUUGUUUCUUAUAUAUUUUUGUGCAAUUUAAUUUGUAUUAUACUACAAUAGUUCAAGGGGAAACUGACAAAAAAGGAUAUAGAUUCUUAUUUCUUUUUUAACAAGGAUAAUGAUUUUUGCAUGCAAUCUUAUAAUACGAUUGAUCCAUAUAAAUAUUAAUAGUAAGGUGCAAUUUCAAUGCAUUAAUCUCAAGUUCAAGCGUUUCCAUGUUGGAAUUUUCAUCCACGAGGAUAAGUUGGAAUCACAUUCUGGUCCACAAAAAAAAAAAAGGUAAAAACACCUCUAUAUAUAUAUAUAUAUAUAUUUGAAUACUCUUGUGAUUAUAGUGUAAGAGUUGGAGUUGUUUCUUGAUUUUCCAUAAACCAACCUACGCAUCUUUUACAACUGAUAAUAUGUCUUCUAUGUUUUCUAUUCACUUCCAUGUUAACAAGAAGAAUGUAGUCAUACCUUACCGUAGGGAAAAGAUACAACAGAUUUUCAAACAACAUGAUGCUAAUGGCGAUGGUAGUCUAAGCUUAGAGGAGCUUGCGACAGCCUAUGGAGAGCUAGACUUAAUUAUCCCCUUGAGAGCUCAUCUUUCACUCUUCCAUGCAGAUGCUAAUGGGGACGAAAAAAUCAACUCUUAGGAGAUGGAAUCUCUUAUCAAUUAUGCUAUGUAUCUGGGAUAUCGCAUUAUGUAAAAUACAAUCUACUCAUGUUCUUGUAAUAAAUGGCAUGUCAUAAUGACAUGUCCCCAUUUAAUAUAUAAAUAAUGCAUGUAGUUUUCCUAUUUGGUAACUAGGAAGACAAAAAGGAUAAGUUCCUUUGUUGUGUUUCCUUAUACGUAACUUAAAACUUUAUAAUUAUCUAUCUUUUAUGUAACUUAGUUUUUUUUUUUUUUUUCAUUUCAUAUUUUUUUUCUCCCUCUCUUUUUAUUCUUCUCCACCCAUUAUAAGACAGUAUGAAUUUCACAAUGACCAUAAAUGAGAGACUUGUAUGCAAGUAUAGUGCCACCUAGGCACGAGGUAGUGCUUCUCCCAAUGAUAGUUUAGGAGAGAAAUGAAAUGCUUAAUGCCAUUUAGUAAAUUAUGUAGAUUAAUUUGCAAGAAGAAGAGUCAUGUCUAAAUUAAAGUAGAUCAGAAGUCUUCAAAGUAAAAGAAAGUUUUAGAAAAAAAUUAAAUAGAAAGUGUAAAUUGACAAUAAUAAAAAAAAAAAAACUCAACAAUUACUUCUAAAAUCCUCAUGGAGUUUGAUGUAUAGAACAAAUCAAAAUUUAUACUCCACAUGUAACUCAAUGAUUUUCAACAUUUAAAAAUAUCUCAAACGCUAAAAAAAAAAAUUAGUUGUUUGGAUUAUUAUGGAAAAUAUGUGUUUAAUUCUCAAAAUCUAAUUUCAUUUUCAUAUUUUUUUGAAUAAUUUUUAAAUUAAAUUGCAUAUUUGAAUUUAUCUUAUUCAACAAAACAUUCUCAUAUUUUAGAAUUAAAAAAGAUCAAGAAAUUUAAAAUAGACCUAGUACUUCAUUUUGAAAUGUGAAAACAUAAUUUUUCUUAAGAGUAGAGUUCAUUUUCUGAGUUAGAGGGAUUAUGUGUUUCACUCUUUGACAUUCAUGUCACCAAGGCAACAUGCAACCUCCCACUUCUCCUCAUCUCUUUUUAUUUGUCCUUUUUCUCUCAUUCUCAUAUAUUGACAUGAAAAAAGUAAAUAAACCCACAAAUAUAUGAAUUCACACAUUCAUGCUAACAUGAAAGCUAGAGAAAAUGUUUCUUUCAAAUUUUGAUUAAGAUUAUGCUCUCAUAUAUUUAAAAGAUUGCUUAAUGUAUAGUUCUAAUAAAUUAACAUCUUUUUAACAAAAAAGUGCCCAUAGAGUACUACUUAUUAUGAAUAAUAAUUGAAAUUAAUUUCAAAUUGAUUCAAUUGGACUUUUAGUUUCUAGUAUUUUCAUACAUGUUAAACUAAAAUCCAAAUUUUCAGGUAUUGGUGUUAUGUGUAUAUAAAUAUGUCAACAUUCAAAUUUUUUAUUUCAUUUUUUUUGUACAUUAUACUCAUCUUUAAAUUUAAAUUGAAGUCAUGUUGUGAUACAAAGUAAAGGUUUAGCAUUCUAAUAUCCUACAUCCCUAUAAGGCAAUAACAAAUUAUACAUUUUUCUACAGAUAUGGUUAGAAAUGAAAUAAUAUCAAUUUUUUUCUUAAAUGAAAUUUUAUUUUUGAGUAUUUUCAGUUUAAUUAAAAUUACAAAUUCAAUUUUGAACAGUAAUAAACAUUUUACAAUAAAUUGAAUAAUAAUUAAAAAAUUAUAUUUAUUGCUAUUUUGAAAUUUAUCUUUAAGAAAUCUAAUUCAACAGAUUCAAUUUUUUAUAUUGAAUUUUUUUUUUUAUAAAUAUUGUUGUAUUUCAAGUUAUUUUUUAUUAAGAAAAAUUUUACAAACCAAAUAGGGAGUUGAUAUUUUGUCUUUAACAUAAAAAUCUAUUUUUAAAAACUAUUUAAAAUAUUACAUUGUAUAUUUGUUGGAGUUUUUUUUUUCUAAAAUAUUUUAUCAUUAUUUUUUGUACUAAAUUGUGAUUAGAAAUCAUAAAUAGUGGUGACAUUUAUUAAAUAAAAAAAAAUUAUUGGCAUCAUAUGUUGGUGAUCCAUGUAAUAUGAAAUGUAUAAUGAAUUCAUCGAAGAAAAUAGUACUACUCUAUCUUCUUCUUUUACAUUUAGGAAAAAAGAAGCCUUUAGGAAUUAAUCAUUGAUUUCAUCUUCAAAAGUGGGGAACUUGUCAUGCACCAUGAAAGUUGAAAAAUAAUGCUCUUAGCUUUGUUAAAUGAAAAAAGAUAAGGUAAAUGGUUCACUUCCAUCAUCCUACUUUCACUUUGAUUCUUAUCUACUUGAACACAAAUGAAUGAAUGAGUUUUUGUUCAAUUUAAUCCUUUCUUGGUUUGAAUGAUUUUUUUUUUGUACAAAAUAUUAAUAAUUCCAGGGAUUUUUAAUUUUUGUGAUUAUGGUGUUGGGUAUAACUUUUAAUAAUGGAUCAUAUCCUAUUUCAAAACCAACUCAUAGUUUCAUGAUGAAUUCAAAUUUAUAUCAAUAUUUUUGGCAUAUUUAUUGGACAACUUUUUUUCAUGAUAUAGACAAAUUCAGAAACAUAUUUGUCUGUUAUGACAAGAAAACUAGUGGUUGAUUUGAUCUAUUGGUUAAAAAGGAACCUCAAGAAGAUCUAUAAGUGAUGUGGGGCUUGAAAUUAUGGACUCCUCAUUUAAAAAAAAAAAAAAUAGUGAUGGAAUAUAUUAAAUGGUAUCAUUAACAGUAUUCAUCUUAUUGACACUGAUUAUAGAAUAAAUGACCCACUAAACAAUUAUAUGUUGCUUACAACAUCUUUUACCAUUUGCAUAGAUAAAGGUGCUAAUUAUAGAAAAAAAAGAGAGUAAAUUUUAUCUUCUAUCAAUGACCCCUUGCACCAUAACAAGAUAGUGAUAAAAGUGGAAAGAGAGACAUUUUUAGUAUAAGAAUUAGAAGUACUUCACAGAAUGAUUAGAAAAGGUUUUGCUUCAACUUAAUUUAUAAUAUCCUAUAAUAAUUUAAGGGAAAAAUGGCAUAAAAGGACAUGGAUUCUUUUUUUUUUUUUUCCUUAAUGAGGAUAAUGACUUUUGUAUGUAAUCUUAUAAUAGGAUCCAUAGAAACAUGAAUAGUAAGGUGCAAUCAAUGUGUUAAUCUCAAGUCCAAACCAUUCCAAAUUAGAAUUUCCAUGAGAAUAAGUUAGAAUCACAUUUUGGUCCACAAGCACACAAGCACAGAUAAAGACACCUCUAUAUAUGUGUUUGAAUACUCCUAUGAUUUUAGUGUAAGAGUUGGAGUUGUUUCUUAAUUUUUCGUAAACCAAUCUACACAUCUCUUACACCUAACAACAUGAUUUUUUCGUUUCCCCUUCACUUCCAUAUUUAUAAUAGUGUAAUUGUACCUAUCCCUAAAAAACAAUUAAAACAAACUUUCAAACAACAUGAUGCUAAUGGCAAUAGUAGUCUAAUCUUAGAGGAGCUUAUGUCAACCUUUGUAAAGCUAGACUCAUUUAUCUCCACUUGGAGAGCUCACCUUUCACUCAUCCAUGCA